rnacentral:rRNA from 1 species
UGGGGAAUAUUGGACAAUGGGCGAAAGCCUGAUCCAGCCAUGCCGCGUGUGUGAAGAAGGUCUUCGGAUUGUAAAGCACUUUAAGUUGGGAGGAAGGGCAUUAACCUAAUACGUUAGUGUUUUGACGUUACCGACAGAAUAAGCACCGGCUAACUCUGUGCCAGCAGCCGCGGUAAUACAGAGGGUGCAAGCGUUAAUCGGAAUUACUGGGCGUAAAGCGCGCGUAGGUGGUUUGUUAAGUUGGAUGUGAAAUCCCCGGGCUCAACCUGGAAACUGCAUUCAAAACUGACUGACUAGAGUAUGGUAGAGGGUGGUGGAAUUUCCUGUGUAGCGGUGAAAUGCUUAGAUAUAGGAAGGAACACCAGUGGCGAAGGCGACCACCUGGACUAAUACUGACACUGAGGUGCGAAAGCGUGGGGAGCAAACA